GUAGGGAAUCUUCCACAAUGGACGAAAGUCUGAUGGAGCAAUGCCGCGUGAGUGAAGAAGGGUUUCGGCUCGUAAAACUCUGUUGUUGAAGAAGAACGGGUGUCAGAGUAACUGUUGACAUCGUGACGGUAUUCAACCAGAAAGCCACGGCUAACUACGUGCCAGCAGCCGCGGUAAUACGUAGGUGGCAAGCGUUGUCCGGAUUUAUUGGGCGUAAAGCGAGCGCAGGCGGUUAUUUAAGUCUGAUGUGAAAGCCUUCGGCUUAACCGAAGAAGUGCAUCGGAAACUGGGUAACUUGAGUGCAGAAGAGGACAGUGGAACUCCAUGUGUAGCGGUGGAAUGCGUAGAUAUAUGGAAGAACACCAGUGGCGAAGGCGGCUGUCUAGUCUGUAACUGACGCUGAGGCUCGAAAGCAUGGGUAGCGAACAGGAUUAGAAACCCUAGUAGUCC
rnacentral:rRNA from 1 species